CCAGACUCCUACGGGAGGCAGCAGUGGGGAAUAUUGCACAAUGGGGGAAACCCUGAUGCAGCGACGCCGCGUGAGUGAAGAAGUAUUUCGGUAUGUAAAGCUCUAUCAGCAGGGAAGAAAAUGACGGUACCUGACUAAGAAGCCCCGGCUAACUACGUGCCAGCAGCCGCGGUAAUACGUAGGGGGCAAGCGUUAUCCGGAAUUACUGGGUGUAAAGGGAGCGCAGACGGCAGUGCAAGUCUGGAGUGAAAGCCCGUGGCUUAACCACGGGACUGCUCUGGAAACUGUGCAGCUAGAGUGCAGGAGAGGCAGGCGGAAUUCCUAGUGUAGCGGUGAAAUGCGUAGAUAUACGGAGGAACACCAGUGGCGAAGGCGGAUUGCUGGACAGUAACUGACGCUGAGGCGCGAAAGCGUGGGUAGCGAACGGGAUUAGAUACCCGUGUAC
rnacentral:rRNA from 1 species